rnacentral:rRNA from 1 species
CCUACCGGAGGCAGCAGUGGGGAAUAUUGGACAAGGGGGGCAAGCCGGAUCCAGCCAUGCCGUGUGGGUGAAGAAGGCCUUCGGGUGUAAAGCCCUACGUCGGGGAAGAAGGAGAAGCCGUUAAUAACGUGAAAGAGACGGACCCGAAGAAAAGCACCGGCUAUUUUUG